rnacentral:rRNA from 1 species
GACGAACGCUGGCGGCGUGCCUAAUACAUGCAAGUUGAGCGCUGAAGGUUGGUACUUGUACCAACUGGAUGAGCAGCGAACGGGUGAGUAACGCGUGGGGAAUCUGCCUUUGAGCGGGGGACAACAUUUGGAAACGAAUGCUAAUACCGCAUAAAAACUUUAAACACAAGUUUUAAGUUUGAAAGAUGCAAUUGCAUCACUCAAAAAUGAUCCCGCGUUGUAUUAGCUAGUUGGUGAGGUAAAGGCUCAACAAGGCGAUGAUGCAUAGCCGACCUGAGAGGGGGAACGGCCAACAUGGGACCUGGGACCGGCCCAAACCUCCUCGGGGAGCAACCAUAGGGAAACUUCCGGCAAUGGCGGAAGGUCGAACCAGCCAAGCCGCCGUGGGUAAGAAGGGUUUCGGGUCCGAAAACUCUGUUGGUAGGGAAGAAAGUUGGUGAGAGUGGAAAGCCCCUCCAGUGACGGUAACUACCCAGAAAGCGACGGCUAACUACGUG